UCUAAUGUGUUAUUGUGACCUUCAAGGAUGC
rnacentral:piRNA from 1 species